rnacentral:rRNA from 1 species
CCCUUAGAUGUUCUGGGCCGCACGCGUGCUACACUGAGUGGAUCAGCGGGUCAGGUUGCGCGAAAGCGUUUCCUAAUCUUUAAAUCCGCUCGUGAUGGGGAUUGACGGUUGCAAUUUUCUGUCAUGAACGAGGAAUACCUUGUAAGCGCGGGUCAUCAUCCCGCGCUGAAUACGUCCCUGCCCUUUGUACACACCGCCCGUCGCUCCUACCGAUUGGAUGGUCCGGUGAGAAUUUCGGAUUGUGAUAUCGUCGCUUUAAUUAGGGAUGAUGUUGUGAGAAGUUAUUCAAACCUUACCAUCUAGAGGAAGGUGAAGUCGUAACA